rnacentral:lncRNA from 10 species
AAAAAGUAAAACACACUUUUGUUCUCUGCCUUAGAACAUCAGAAACCUUGACAGCAACGCACUCCGUUAUGGGUUGAAUGGUGUCCCUGUCACAAAAAUUCGUAUAUUGAUGUCCUGACUCCCAGUACCUCAGAAUGUGACUUUUAUUUGGAAAUAGGGUCAGUGCAGAGGUAACUGGUUAAGAUGAGGUCACACUGGAGUAGGGUGGGUGCCUAAUCCAAUUAUGACUGGUAUCCUCAUAAAAAGGAGAGAUCUGGAGAAAGAGACACAUAUAGAGGGAAGGCAACGUAAAGACCCAAAGAGAGACCACCAUCUACAAGUCACAUCUACAAGUCAAGGAGAGAGGCCCAGGACAGAUUCUUUCCUCACAGCCCUCGGGAGGAAGCAACCCUGCCAACCCCCUGACUUCUAGCCUUCUUCAGAUUCUCAGCUUCUAGAACUGUGAGACGAUGCAUUUCUGCCAUUUAAGCCACCCGUUUGUGGUUGGCAUUGUUAUGGUGGCCCUAGCAAACUAAGACAACUCUAAAUUCUGCAAACAGUUCUCUAAACAAGGCUGAUAUAAUUAAAUUGCUACUUCUUAAGAUUUUCCUCUCUCCUUUAAAAAUGAAAGACCUGUAAAUAUAGACUGCCUAAAUGCUUCAUCAGUAAGAACUGGAGUCAUCUUACACAACUUCUUCAAGUAACAAUUAUGUGGAAAAAGUGUGCUAAUUUCAGUAAAAAGACAUCCUGCUGUUGUAAACUAGAAGGAAAGACGUUCCAGUGUUAAUCUCCAAGUGUAGCACCGUUAAGCGGCAGGUAUGAGAAAUGUUCUCCUGUUUUCUGGAAACAUUGGUCUGUUCUCAUUUGCUUGUGCUAUGACAGUCCUCUGAUAAAGCAAGGUCAGGAAGAAAGGCAGAUCUAUUAACACUUCGCUCAACCAAGGCAGACCUUAGUACAAUGGACAGCCUUAUAGAAGUCUUCUAAGUCAUUAAUGAAAAUGUCAACUGACAUUCCCAAGGAGCCCACUACAAAGGCUGACUGGUUUAUUACAACCUUGGCCCUACUGAAGGCCUGGCGCAGACAGCAAGUCUCCUUCUGAAACUAUGUAAGAGUAUAACACAACAGGUAACUGAUGAAAAAAAAAAACAUCCAGAGAACUUAGUGGCUGGGAUUUGAAGUUAAAAGUGGGACAGUAAGGAUACAUUUUGGUAGGUUGUUAUUUAUAAGGUUACAUACACUAGAAAGAAAAAAAAUCUUGAGGCUACUUCCAAACUCUUUAUUACAUACAGGUUGCUCUGACAUGUGGCCAUACAAACAAGUCUUGAUUGGAAGGAAGUCAACUUAAUUCAGGAAAGUACAUCCUAAGAACAACAGUGACCACUGCAAUGUAUUACAAGGCUUACUUUUUUUUCGGUUAGCUUCUGCAAUGCAUAUACAAUGCCAUUAUUCCAGACAUUAGGUGUCUUGCUAAUGGCCUAAAACAAAGGAGAGGGAUUUGGAAUUCAGGAGCUCUGGCCUUCCAUUUCACUGCCCUUUCCACUAUUCACUAUUUGUUCUUUUCCAAUGCCUUAACUCGAAACCACAGUGACAUGCUCUGUCUGAGUGAGUCUUUCUCAGAGUGUAAAGGCAUGAAUGUAUUCACUCAACAAAAAUAUACUGAAUGUCUAUUAUAUUCCAAACACUCUUCUUGGGCUUAGACAUAUAGCAGGGAAUAAAACAAAUAAAACCAAGCAAGCAAAAAACUUUUUGUGGAAUUUACAUUCUAGAAGUGGUAGACAGACCAUAAGCCAAUAAACAUACUAAGUAAGCCAAUUAAUUAGUAAGUUAGAAAGUGACUCAUGUUGGCCAGGAGCAGCGGCUCAUGAGUGUAAUUGCAGCACUUUGGGAGGCUGAAGUCAGUGGAUCACUUGAGGUCAGGAGUUCAAGACCAGUGUGGCCAAUAUGGUGAAACCACAUCUCUACUAAAAAUACAAAAAUUAGCCGGGUGUGGUGGCACGCACCUGCAGUCCCAGCUACUUGGGAGGCUGAAGCAUGAGAAUAGCUUGAACCUGGGAGGCAGAGGUUGCAGUGAGCUAAUAUUGUGCCACUACACUCCAGCCUGGGCGACAGAGUGAGGCUCUGUCUCAAAAAAAAAAGGUGAUUUGUGCUAUGAUUAAACAGAGCUGACUAGGAAGAUGAAUGGGCAGCAGGAGCAGGGAUGCAUGUGUGGUGACAAGAGGCAAUUUCAAGUAAGAAAGUCAGGGCAGGACUAAUUGGCAAGCUGGCAUCUGAGCAGAAGAAGUGAGCCACAUGAACAUCUGGAGGAAGAGUGUUCUGUGCAGAAGGAGGAGCGGGAGCAAGCCUGGACAAUCAGAGGAAGAGCAAGGAGGCCAGCACGUAGACUCGUGAGGGGCAGUGUAAACAAAAAGCCAGGGGGCAAGAGAGGUAAUGAGGUGUCAGACUGCAGGCCCUUGUAAGGACUUCUGCUUUUACUCUGAUUGAGAGAUGAAGCUAUUGGAAGGACCUGAACAGAGGAGUGACAUGGUUUGACUUAUGUUUCAGCAGGGUAACCUUGGCUGUGCUGGGAAUAGACUGUAGAGGAGCAAAAACAGAAGCAGGAAAAUGAGUUUGGAGGUUACUGCACUAAUCCAAGUGGGAGAGGAUGGUGGCGCAGACCAGGGUGGUGGUGGCAGUAGGGUGAUAAGGGUUUUACAUGUUUCAAAGAUACACCCAAUAGGAUUUUCAACAGAUGAGAUGUGGCAUGUGUAAGAGAGAAGUCAAGGAUAAUUUCCAACAACAGCCUAUCUGAAUACUUGUCCUUUGCCUUUUAAAGAUGAUUUAUAAGACUUCGGUUAGAUUUGUACUAUGGUUUACUUGUAGGACUCAAAACCCAAACCCACUGACCUUGUGAGACACUUGAGAACAAGGACUAGGUUUCAUUAUUUUCGAAUCAUCCUUCUCACAAGAGCAUGACACAAAGUAACAUACUCAUGGUCGGAAUUUAACAAAUGUGCACAAGAUGAAUGAAUGAAGGAGUAAAUGAAUGAAUAAUUCAUAUCGACAGAGAAUAUUAACUAUCUCACUCCUCCAGAAAAGGAUCUAGCUUUGAGCAUAUUUGGUAACUGAGGAACAUCUCCAAAGACAAUCUGCCAUGAAUAAAAAAAAUUACUCAAAAAAUAGCAUCUCAUUUUGAAUUUAAACUUGAAUCUUACUCAAACUGAAUAAUAGAGCAAACCUAUAGGGAUUAUCUAGAUAACAACAGAAUAAAAAAACAGAAGUUAUAAAAGAGAUGCAUUAUAAAUUUAUUUUCAAAAAUGCUUUAUUAUUUUCAAAGGUAAUGACAACAUGACAUUUUCCAAGACAGACCAACAGCUCCCUAUGUGGCUCUAAGUCUGCUCAGCGAUACAGAAUGAAUUCAGGCUGGGCACGGUGGCUCACGUCUGUAAUCUCAGCACUUUGGGAGGCCGAGGUGGGCAGAUCACCUGAGGUCAGGAGUUCGAGACCAGCCUGGCCAACACGGUGAAACCAAGUCUCUACUAAAAAUACAAAAAAAAUUAGCCGAGCGUGGUGGCGGGCACCUGUAAUCCCAGCUACUCAGGUGGCUGAGGCAGGAGAAUCGCCUCUGCCAGGAGGCGGAGGUUGCAGUGAGCACUCUAGCCCAGGAGAGAAGAGCAAGACUCCAUCUCGAUUUAAAAAAAAAAAAAAAAAAAAGGAAAAAACAGAAAAUGAAUUGAGAGUAUCAGUGAAGACACUCAGGACUUAGGGAAAGAAAAUCUGAAUAACUGCCAAUUAAAGAUCAAACAGAGAGAAAAUAAAACCUUUGCACAAUAAGAACAUAAAUCAGAAAAAGGAUGUUGGAAAUCAGAUCCUUGUGCAUUUUAACAAGCUUUCAUCUAACGCAUAAAUUAUACCUAACAGUAUAACAACACUGACAACUGGUGGCUGGAUUGUUAGCUGUGUCUAUACUCCUGCAAUGAAAUGGAAAGUGUGCUGUUCUUAACAGUUGAGCUUUACACAUAGGGGCAAACAAGUUGUGUAUGCGUGUAACUGUAGACAGCAGAUGUUGGAGAGCACCUUCUGAGAUUACUCAGUCUACUUUCUGCCUUCUGGCAGGAGUAGACACAGCCAAAAUCAGAGGGGUAAUUGACUGCUUUGCUUGGAGGAGAUGACAGAAAAAAAAAGACUAAACGCUACCUACGCUCAAUGUUCCACACCUCUUAAGCCAGUAAUCCUGUAUCUGGUGUCGGGCAGCAAAGAAAAUAAAAUAUACCUCGUCUGUGCUCCAUUUGGAAACUUUACUGGCAGGGAUUCCUGCGACAGUUGGAAGAAGUUUGCUUUGCUGCUCCCAGCGCAAGGGCAGACAUGGAAUUGGGGACUUAAAGGACAGAAAGACAGCUGACCGACGCUGUGCCUGCUGGACGGUGGGUUCUUCCCGGGCACCUGGUCAAUGAAAACAAAUGGGAAAUCACUCUCUGAAAGCAGCAAGAAAGCCCCAAAUGCCGUGCAUCUCCCAGAUAACGAGACUGGAGGUGGGAGUGGUUAAAGCAUUGGUUCCUUUCAGCAUUAUACUAUUGAAUAGGCUCUUCUUUGUCUUUACUGAAGGUCACUAUAAAAAACAACCUGUAAAUUCAACUGAUAUCAUUUGCUACAGCACUCAUUACUAAAGACAUGCUUCAUUAUGUUGUUCAACGUUGUCUCUUUAAUGCUUCAGAUAAGAAACGUGCCUCAAAGUUUUAAUGGGAAGGAAAGUUAGUCUUAUUCUAGGAAGUUGUUUAUUUGCUCCCCUUUCUGCUUUGGAUGUUGUAAAGGUAACAGCCAAGUUGCAUCUCACGUCUAACACCUGUGCUUACCAUGUAUUCACAGUUGGCAUACUUUCUCUCUCCUUUUGUCUCAGGGCUUGGUUUGGUUUUUUAACUUCUUAUUUACUAAUCAUACUGAUUUUUUAAAUAGCCAAUUCAAUUUUUUGACAGGGAUAUGAAAUUAUUGCAAUAAAAAUAAAACAGCAGAAAUGCAAAUGUUUUUGUAAUUUUUUACUUGUUCAGAUCAAAAUUAAAACUACUAAAUAUUCUUACUGUAGCCUGGGCAACAAGACAAGGUCCCAUCUCUUGAAAGAAAAAAAAAAACCCUACUGAAUAUUCUAUUUAUGUUAGAGCUUCUGAACCCAAAGCUAGUUUUAUGGCUGCUUUCCUAAAACGGCCAUUCUCUAGCAAAGGAUUUUUGUCCUCUGGACGCUUGACUUAGAGCUGUCAAUCGUCGUCUCCUUAUGGUCCUUUAGAACAGAAACCUUUUCUGAAAACUCUGUAUUCAAAGCACCUCAGAAGAAAGGCACCUCCCAUACAUUUCCUCUCUGCUCACACACCAGCUCAGUUACAAGGACACCUCAAUUCUAUCACAAAGCCUUGCUUUUAUAUCUCUAAGAUCUACAGAAAGACACAGAAAUCACUAAGUGUAAAGUUCACUGAAUUUUCACAAAGUGAACACACCCAUGUAACCAACACCCUGACUGAAAACAAAACGUGGCCAGCACACCCUUCCAAUCG